GAUGCACACCACCUGUUGGGCGAAAUGUGUGGCCGACGGAAGAAGAUGGCCGUGGCCGAGGCAUGGACUCAUCAAGGUGAACGGCGACACCCACAGCCAAAAGUACGUCGACGAGGCCACCAAGAAGGAGGUCAAGGACAUCUUUCGGCCGCUAUGACCGCACCCUCCUCGUCGUCGACCCCAGGCGCUGCGAGCCCAAGAAGUUUGGUGGGCGCGGAGGUACCAGAAAUCGUGUUGUAAUUGCUAGAUCAUGUAUCAAUUGGUGUUGCAUGUUCUGGUUCUAUACCUAGCUACAUCUUUACAUAUAUGCUAUGGGAGUUUAGAA